GUGCUCACUUCAGCAGCACAUAUACUAACAUUGAAAUGAUACAGAGAAGAUUAGCAUGGCUCCUGUGCAAGGAUGCCAUGCAAAUUUGUGAAUCGCUCCUUAUUUUU
ensembl:snRNA U6 U6 spliceosomal RNA